rnacentral:lncRNA from 1 species
AUGGGUGGAUGUCCAAGCUGCCAUUCUGUCUGCACCGAGGGAAAACAAUACAUGCUUUUGUUAUUGAAACUCAUGUCCUGUUUUGAUUCGAAACUCCAAGGUCAUUAGUGACCAAAAUGUUCUCCAUCUCCUCUCUACUGUUUCAACCAAAGCAGAAGCUGAAAGACGGAAGGAAAAGAUUUUGGGGACGAAAGUGUAUGGCAUGAUGCGAGUUUACUAUGGACUUGGAGACUCUGGGAAUCCCUGGGAAGUAAGGAGAUGCAUGUCCCUGUUGGACUGGUGGAAAAGUGUGUGGAACUCACAAUCGCAAUGCAGUUUGUAAAAGGAAUCAUCACCAAAAAUGGCUACCAUGAGGGGAGAAAACUAGGGUAACUCAGGGGGCCCAGAACUCAAUAUGCAUGUGGUUCCUCCAAAAACAACUGAGGCCAUCAGUCCAAACUAUGGAGCAUGGAUACAGAAGAAAAGCAACCGUCACCCAUGGCAAGUUUUCAAGUCCAUCAAUGACCAAGAAUUAGGAAGGCUUGGAGGCUUGGCUAGUGGAGAGGAAUGUCAAGGCAGGCCCUUCCUUAGGGUUUCAUGUGGAAGACACAGGAGAAAGUAUAUAUAACUGGUGAGAACUGGAAGCAAUGAAUGAAUGAGACAGAGACAGAGGAAGGGGAAGCCCUUUUUAAAUAGUAAGUGUCCAAUAAUGGGACGGAUUGGCUUAA